GCACCACUAUACCUAGCUAAUUUUUGUAUUUUUAGUAGAGACAAGGUUUUACCAUGUUGGCCAGGCUUGAACUCCUGGCCUCAGGUGAUCUGCCUGCCUUGGCCUCCCAAAGUGCUGGGAUUACAGGUGUGAGCCACCGUGCUUGGCUAUAUUACUGAAUUUUGUUUGUCAAUAUUGUUUUCAGGGCUUUUGCAAAUAUAGUCUCAUAAGUGAGACUGGCCCGCAAUUUUCCUUUUUCAUAUUACACUUGUCUGGUUUUGGUACCAAGGCUAUAAUGCAGGGAGGUAGAAGCUUUUUUUCUAUUUUCUAUUAUUUGUUAAUUGAAAGUCUGGUUGAAGUUGAUAAAACUAUUGGACAUGAGGUUUUCUUUCUGAGAAGUUUUAGCUACUGAUUCAAUUUUAGUAGUGACUGCAUUAUUUAGGUGUUUUCUUUCUUUUUUAGUCAAUUUGAUGAUAUAUUUUGCUAAGAACUUGUUUCAUGUAAUUAACAAAAAAUACAAGGACAUAUUUAUUUUAUAUACUUAGAUAUGUUUGAUAAAUAUGUAUUUACUUAAUAAAUGAAUAUUUAUGAGCAUGGAGUUCAUGGUAUUGCCAUAGUUUUGAGUCUCUGUUGUGUCUAUAGUUAUGUUCCUUGAUAAUUUAGGGCUGUUUGAAUGCCUCUGGUUCUAGAAGCCCCCUGGCCACUCAGUGGAAGGCCUAAUACUCUGAAGCUUGUUGAAUUGUAGCCCGAUUUGAUUUUAUUUGAUGUUGAUCAAAGAUGGUCAUAAAUAGAAGUAUUUGGGGCAGGGCCAAUAAAUGUAAUCUGGUCCCAGACUAGGUUUCUUCAUUUAUUCCUUCAGUAGAAUGAAAGUCAUGAUCAGCUGCCACUUUGAUUUCAGGGGAGAAGAGUAUCAUUGUUGCCUAAGGAGCUGAUUUUUGUAGGCUUACAACAGUUCAGUAUUUCCUAGAGUGACAGGGAAUAAGAGCGAACUCCCCUAAUUGAAGUGAGUAAAGAAGGCCUUGACAAGCCCUUUCCACAAGUCAGUCUGGAAAACCACAGGCCCUAAGGAGCAGCUGAUAGGAGCACUUGGGCCAGUGAAACAUCCAAGCUACCUGGGGACCCCUGAGCAUUUCUAUCUCCAGAUGGCUGAGCAUGGCUCUGUACUGGUAGGCCCAGGCUCAGGGGUGGCUGAUGUUAUUCGGCUUCCUACCUUCCCCUCUGUGGCCCAAGUGACAGCUUCCCCUGUCCCCUGCCCAUUUAAAUAUUUUAGUGUGUGGUUAAAAACCUCAGAGGCUGUGGAUCUGAUCACCUGCCUCCUUCUCUAAAAGAGAUGUUAUAGUGAUUUCAGUCAAGUCUCUCAUUUUGCUGAACAGGAACUAAUCAUCACCAUCACCAAUAACAGCAGUAUUACUAAAAGCACUUACGGUAUGCCUGCCAAACACUGUGUUAACACUUUACAUCAAAAAUCUCAAUGAAUACAUUUAUUGAAUUAUUAAUGUAGCAAAUAUCUAUUGAGCUUCUACUCUGCUCCAGGUACUUUUCUGGGUGCUGGGACAGAGCAGUGAACCAAGCAGAGAAGCUCCCAUUCUGUGACACCCAUAUGCUACGCCGUCUCUUUCAGAUAAAUACCGAAUGCUUCUCACUGAAUCAGAGGCAAGAAGCCACAGCCCUGUGCAUGAGCCUUCUCUGCAUCCUACAGCAGCUCCUGCAACCCUCCUGUGGCCCUGGGGCAGAACCCUGGGGAUCCAAGGAACAGGGUUUGAAAAUGUGUUUGGUGGAAAAUGCAUUGAGCCUCAAGUCAGAAGUCCUGGAGUCAAGCCCAGAUCUACCACUCACUCGUUUCAUAAGCCCAGGGUCAAGAUUCGAACAUCAGUUAUGAUUUGGAUCAUCACAUAGUGCAGCACUCAGAAGUCGAAGGGCGGAAGAAACCUCUCUAAAGAGCCUGAGAGCUGUGACUCUUGGACCCAGGAGACACCUGAAAUUAGUCCCUGCCUCCAGUCCCUCCAUUAAAUCUCUCCAAAAAGGAGCAGCUGACGGCAUUCUAGUGGCAACACAGGGCCCUCGAGACCACAGGCAAGCAGACACGUGGCCCAGAAGGAUUUCUGUGGGGGUUUUGCUUGUCCUGCCCAAGUGUUUGCCCAGCAGACUGCUCUUCUCGAGUUGCCAGGCGAGGUCACACCGCAGAGUCUCGCUGGGAGUGGGCACUUCAGACCCGGGUGCUGAUUCAGCUGGAAUGGAAGCAUCCAUUUCCUAAGCAGUCAGCCAGAGUUGAGCUUAAGGAGGCAAUACCCUUCUGGAUGGCCGUGAGUACCACAAGGGUAAAUAACCGACAUGGAUUUCAGGACAGUCUUACUUCACAUAGCAGACGUGUCCACUGGGCUCACAUUGGAUGGAGAAAAAUCUCGAUCUGUUUAAAGGAAGCUACAGGAAGCCAGCUGGCAAGAUGAGUGUUGUAAUGUGAGCAAACAUCCCUUAGCCAUCCAGCAGGUAUGAAGUUGUGUCGGUUUGGUUUGCUUAAAUCGGGAGCCACAUCUGAGAAGAAAAUCCAUUGUUCAGAAAGGACGCACCAUUGUAAAGAAUAUCAUGUGGACAAAGUUUUGGUGCUUUUUAGGAAGCAGUUUAGUGCUCUGGCUAAAUGAGGAUUAAGCAGAAAAGACUUUUUGUUUCAACUCCUGUUGCUGGAAAUCUCUCCAAAGAGUUCCCAUUCAAUCUCCUGCCUGGGUACAUAGCUGCCAGGGAACAGAAUUUAAUGUUUGAUGACUGAGUGACUUCCUUAGCUUCCAGUCUUUCUGAAUUUUAGUUCACUACGGUGCAAGGCUAUAGGCAGAAGUGUGGAAAACUGGAGUUACAUUUGGCAGCUUGGUCUGCAGAAGGUUCAGAAGAGAAAUUAAUUUGAAGUUAAAAACCAAAGAGUAACACGACUCCUAACGAGGCUUAUUUUUGUUUUGCUGUUCCUUGGUUUACUCCUGAAAGCAAAUCCAGUCUCUACCAUCACCUCAGGUGAGUUACUUCUAGGGGGCCUUUCUAGGGGGCUGGCUGAUUUCUAUGUCCUUACCUGGCUCUCCCAUUGUGUGUCUGAGAACCGUGGUGCUCUGGCCCCUUGAUAUUUUGCUCUUUUCUGCAUGCCAUGAUUGUAUCAGAACUCUCUGUGAAGGCAGCAGAUCAGUGCCACCGAGAAAACAGCAUGCUCCAGAGAGCUGCGUGUACCGAGUGUCAGUAUCUGGUGCCAUUCAAGAAGAUGGCAGGCUUUACAACAUUGGAUUCUCUUCCCAAACCGUCGGAAGGUGUGAAGUAAACAGCACUGGCCUCCCUUGAGAAGGCGAAGGAUGCAGGUCAUUCUGGUGUGAGGACUGGCUUGAUCUCACAGAGCCUCACAUCUGGAAUUUGGGGUCUUGGUCUCCAGAUGGGUGGCAAGGGAAGAUGCCAGGACAGGAGUCCUGCCUGGCUGGAUAAGCAAUCCCACGGCUGGCUUUAUGCCAUCCCGGUGCCUCCCCCACAUGCACUGCACAUUCAUUUCUCUACGCGUUCUUGUAGAUGACAGGAAAAUCUCACUUGGUAAAGCAGAUGUGUCCAUUGGGCCCCCGCUGGAUGAAGGAAAGUUUCCCUCUGCUUAAGACUUAAAGGGAACUGCAGGAUCUUCCCCAUAGCCACGUGUGGGAUGCUGGCCAUAUUCUCUCUCAUUGGACAGUGAGUGAGGAAGCCAAGACCCACCGGGCUUGGCAACUUGCUUGAGGUGGCACAGUUAACACUCAGGAGGCAGGGCUGGAACCCAGGCCCCUGAUGCCAGCCAACUGGCCUUUCUUCCACUUUGCUUCUGUGCCUUUAGAAGAAAGUUUCUAGGUGGGGAAUUCAAGGCACAGGCAGUAAUGUUUGCUCCUGGUCACUUGGUGAGUUGGGAGCAGAAUGGAGACUAGAAAUCAGAUCACCUGAAUCUCAGGCCAAGGUUUUGUUCCCAAAGGAGCAAUGGUUUUAGUACUGUGUGUUUCUGGUGGGCAUGGAACAUCCAUCAUGAGUGCUGUGAGCUAGGAGGCUUAGAGAGGAAACAGGAAAACAAGAAGGGGUGAGAAGAGAAGGAGAUGGAGGACAGCCAGGUGAACAAAGAUGGGGCCCGGUGCCACCGAAACAUGGAGACGUCUGCAGGGCACCUAACACACUGCUCCCGGCCCUCUGGCCUCAAUCCCUAUGGGUCUGCCUGGAGCCUCCUUUUUCAUCCUAUUUAGAUUCAUCCCAGUGCCUUCCCACUGAUGCCUUCUGGAGAGUUCCCAAGGCUGUUCACCCAGGCCUGCCUUCACCUGUCUUCCUCGGUGGUUGGAGCAAUCUGACCUCCCUCCCUUCCCACACAGCCUGCUCUCUGAGGGUGGCAGCUGCUGUAGUUAAUGAAUGGGUCCAAGCCACAGCCCACUGUGAUGGGGAGGCCAGGAGGUGUCUUCUCCUCACCCCCCGAAGGCAGAGCUCACCCAAGGGAGUGAAGGGGAAUAAAAGCUUUUUUUUUUUUUUGAGUCAGGGGCUCGCUCUCUCACCCAGGCUGGAGUAUAGUGGCUUGAUUACGGCUCACUGUAGCCUCAAACUCAUGGGCUCAGGUGAUCCUCCUGCCUCAGCCUCCUGAGUAGCUGGGACUACAGGUGCACGCCACCAUGCUCAGCUAAUUUAUUUUUUAUUUUUAGAAAAAGGGGUCUUGCGAUGUUUCUGCGGCUGGUCUCGAACUCCUGGCCUCAAGCAAUCCUCCCACCUCAGCGUCCCAAAGCACUAGGAUUAUAGAUGUGAGUCAUCACGCCUGGUCAAAGCUCUUCUUAAUUGCAAUAACAGAAGCCACUCAAAUAAGUUUAAGCAAAAAAGGGGCUCCACCAGGUUAUUUAAUGGAAUCAAGCCUCCAAAGGAAUGAAAACAUUAGCCAGAAAGUGCUCUAGCAACAGGGCAGCCCCCUCUCUCUACUCCGACUUCCCUUCUUUCCUUAGCACCCUCCAUCUGCACAACACAACCUGGCUCUCUCUGGCUCAGGAGGUCUCCGUGGUGCCAUCUGGUCUGUUCUCAGACAUGAAGGACUACAAGGGACCACAGGGGUCUGUUCUCAGACCUGACCCACUUCCUGCUGGUCAGGAGUGGGAGCAUGGAUGGUGAUCAGACGCCUUAAGGGGGACAUCCAGAGAGAAGCGAGACAAUCUAACCACUGUUAGUCUAUCACUGGACUCCAGCGCCAUGCCACCCUACACCCAGCUCCAUGCCACCCUACAUCCAGCUGUGUUGCCAGUUCUCCUGCAGCUCUGGGAGGGAGGAAACUUCUCCUCUGGGGCUGAAAGAGCUGUGUGGGUAAAUUCCAGGACUCUUAAAAAUAAUCUGGUCUAUAUAAGUUUUCCACUUAAAUAUAAACUCCACGAAGGCAGGAACCUUGUCUAGAGUCUUGUGUUUCAGCCUUGUAUCUCCAACACCUAGACCAUAGUUGGCAUUCAAAUAUUUGUUAAUUGAAUAAACGUAUUUAUUUUAAAACAGCUUCAUUGAGGUAUAACUGAAAUACAAUAACUGCACAUAUUUAGUGUGCUAUUUUGGUAAGUUUACACACACACACACACACACACACACACACACACACACCCCAUCACCAAUAAAAAUAAUGAACAUAUUAGGUCAGGAGUGGUAGCUCAAGCUUGUAAUCCCAGUACUUUGGGAGGGUGAGGCAGGCGGAUCACUCGAGGUCAGGAGUUCAAGACCAGCCUGGCCAACAUGGUGAGACUCCCGUCUCUACUAAAAAAAUAUAAAAAUUAGCUGGGCAUGGUGGUGCUUGCCUGUAAUCUCAGCUACUUGGGAGGCUGAGGCAGGAGAAUCACUUGAACCUGGGGGAUGGAGAUUGCAGUGAGCUUAGAUCACGCCACUGCACUCCAGCCUGGGCAACAGAGCAAGAUUCUGUCUCAAAAGAAAAAAAAAAGAACAUAUUCAUCAUCCUCAAAAUAUUCAUCAUUCCUCUUUGUAAUCCCUUUCCAUCCCUAGGCAACCACUAAUUUGUUUUCCAUCACUGUAGAUUAGUUUGCAUUUUCUAGAAUUUUACAUAAAUGGAACCACACAGAAUUUACUUCAUUUAUUUCUGUCAUCUUUCACUCAGCACAACUCUCCUGAGAUACAUCUGUAGUGUUGUGAAUGGUUUAUUCCCUUUUAUUGCCCAGUGGUGACUCCACUUUAUGGAAAGACUAGUGUUUUCAUUUGAAUGUUGAUGGACAUUUGGGUAGCUUUUAGGUUUUGGUUAUGGAAAAGCUGUGAUGAACAUUUGUAUACAAGUCUUUCUAUGAACAUAUGCUUUCAUUUCUCUUGGGUAAAUACAUAGAAGUGAAAUGUCUGGAUCAUAUGACAGAUGUAAGUUUUACUUUUAAAGAAACUGCCAAAUCAUUUUCCAAAAUGGUUAUAACAUUGAUUUUCAAAUAUUAAAUGAAAUUUGCAUUCCUGGGAUAAAACACUCUUGGUCAAUAUGUAUUAUCCUUUUUAUAUAUUGUUGGCUUCAAUUUGCUAAAAUUUUGUUUAGAAUUUUUGCAUCAAUAUUAAUGGAAGAUAUUAAUCUGUCACUUGCUUUUCUUAUACAGGUUUUUGUCAUGUUUUGCUAUCACAAUAAGGUUUAGAAUGAGUUGGGAAGUAUUCUCUUCAAUUUUUGGGAGAGUUUGUAGAAUUGAUAUUAUUUAUUUCCUAAAUAGCGGUAGAAUUCACCAAUGAAGCUAUUUGGGCCUGGAGGGUAUUUUUUUCUUUGUGGGAAGAUUUUAAACUACAUAUACGAUGCUUUUCAUAGAUAUAAGGUAUUCAAAUUAUCUCUUAAAAUUUUUUUCAAGAUAUAAUUCACACGUCGUAAAAUUCACCAUUUUAAAGUGUACUAUUUAGUGGGUUUUAGUUUAUUCACAAGGUAAUACAAUCAUCACUACUAUCUAAUUCCAGAACAUUUUCAACAACCUAACAAAAAACUCCAUACUCAUUAGCAGUCAUGCCCCAUUUUCUCCCAUUUCUCUGCCCUGGGCACCACUAAUCUAUUUUCUGUCUCUAUGGGUUUGCCUAUUCUGUACAUUUCAUAUAAAUGGCAUCCUACAAUAUGUGGCCUUUGUGUGACUGGCUUCUUUCACUUAGGAUAAUGGUUUCAAGGUUCACUCAUUAUAGCCUGUAUCAGCAUUUUAUUCCUUUCUAAGGCCUGAAUAGUCAAAACAAUCUUGAAAAGGAACAAAGUUGGAGUAUUCAUACUUCCUGACUUCAAAACGGACUACAAACUGCAGUAGUUGAGAUAGCAUAGUACUGGAAUAACAGCGAUAUAUACAGCAACAAAAAAUGAAGUCUAGAAAUAACUCUUACAUUUAUAGUUAAGUGAUAUUUGCAAAGAUUCCAAGACAAUUCAAUGGGAAAAAAUAGUGUUUUCAAGAGAUGGUGCUGGGAUCAUUACCCACAUGCAAAAGAAUGAAGUUGGACCCCCUAUCUCAUACAAUGUAUAAAAAUCAACUAAAAAAUGGAUCAAAGACCUAAACUGAAGAGCUAAAACUACAAAAAUUGAAGAAAUCAUAGGCAUAAAUCUUCAUGACCUUGGAUUAGACAGUGGUUUCUUAGAUAUGAUGCCACAAACAAAAGCAGCAAAAGAAAAAGGACAUAAACUAGAUAUCAUCAAAAUGAAAAACUUCUGUGCUUCAAAGGACAACAUCAAGGAAGUGAAAAAGACAACACAAAAGAACUUGAGUUGAAAAUUUGGGUUGAAAUUUUUUUUGCAAUUAUCCAUCUAAUAAGGGACUUACAUUUGGAAUAUUUAAAAAACUUUUAUAAUUCAAUAAUUUUAAAAACCCAAUUAAAAAUGAACAAAGGGUCUAAAUAGACAGUUCUCCAGAGAAGAUAUACUAAUGGCCAAUUAGCACAUGAAAAGAUGUUCAACGUCAUCAGCCAUCUGGGAAAUGCAAAUCAAAACCACAAUGAAACACCACUUCACAUCCACUAGGAUGGCUAAAAUUUAAAAAAAAAAAAGUGUUGGUGAGGAUGUGGAUAAAUUGAAUCCUUAUACAUUGCUAGUGGGAAUGCAAAAUAGUGUGGCCCCUUUGGAAAACAGUCUGGUAGCUCCUCAAGCAGUAGCACAUGACCCAGUAAUUUCGCUCCUAGGUAUAUACCCAAGAGAAGUGAAAACAUAUCCACAUAAAAACUUGUACAUGAAUGUUCAUGGCAGCUUUAUCAUAAGAGCCAAAAAGUAGCAACAACCCAAAUGUCCAUCAGCUAAUGAAUGGACAAACAAAAUGUGACAUAUCCAAACAAUGAAAUAGUACUUGGCAAUAAAAAGAAAUGAAGUACUCAUACCUGCUUCAAUCACAUGGAUAAACCUUGAAAACAUUAUGCUGAGUGAAAGAAGUCACAAAGGACCACAUGUUGUGUGACUCUACUUAUGUGAAAUAUUCGGACUAGGCAAAUCCAUAGAUAGAGAAAGCUGACUAGUGGUUGUCUAAGGUUGGGGGAUGAGGGACCUUGUGGGGACAGGUGAUGCUGAAGGGGGAUGGGAUGAUGUUUCUUUUGGGGGUAAUGAAAAUGUUCUAAAACUGAUUCUGCUGAUGGACAUACAUUUCUGAAUACAUUAAAAGUCAUUGAAUUGUAGACUUUAAAUAGGUGAACUGUAUGGUAUGUUAAUAUAUCUCAAUAACAUUGUUUUUAAAAAGAGUUUAGGCCAGGCGCGGUGGCUCACACCUGUAAUCCCAGUACUCUGGGAGGCUGAGGUGGGCGGAGUACCUGAGGUCAGGAGUUCAAGACCAGCCUGGCCAAUGUGGUGAAACCCU
rnacentral:lncRNA from 10 species